rnacentral:misc_RNA from 1 species
AAGUCGUAACAAGGUUUCCGUAGGUGAACCUGCGGAAGGAUCAUUAACGAAUUAGAGAGUUGAUGCUGGUAGUCUGACUACAUGUGCUCGCUCUCCUAAUCCCACUUACACCUGUGCACUUUAACUUUGGAGGGAGGGUAAAACCUGCCUUCGAAAUUCACAAACUCUCGUUUUUAAAUUAUGAAUGUUUAUCUGCCGCAAGGCAAAAUUUAAUACAACUUUUAACAACGGAUCUCUUGGCUCUC